UGGUGGUGGAGACUUGUAGUAGUAUGGUGGAGGAGGAGAUGGAGAUGGUGGGGGUGGUGAUUUGUAGUAGUAGGGAGGUGGAGGUGAUGGGGAUGGUGGUGGUGGGGAUUUGUAGUAGUAUGGUGGAGGAGGAGAUGGGGAAGGUGGUGGUGGGGAUUUGUAGUAGUAUGGUGGAGGAGGAGAUGGGGAAGGUGGUGGUGGGGAUUUGUAGUAGUAUGGUGGAGGAGGAGAUGGGGAAGGUGGUGGUGGGGAUUUGUAGUAGUAUGGUGGAGGAGGAGAUGGGGAAGGUGGUGGUGGGGAUUUGUAGUAGUAUGGUGGAGGAGGAGAUGGGGAAGGUGGUGGUGGGGAUUUGUAGUAGUAUGGUGGAGGAGGAGAUGGCGAUGGUGGUGGAGGAGACUUGUAGUAGUAAGGAGGUGGAGGUGAUGGAGAUGGUGGUGGAGGAGAUUUGUAGUAGUAUGGAGGUGGCGGUGAUGGAGAUGGUGGUGGAGGAGAUUUGUAAUAGUAUGGUGGUGGAGGAGAUGGGUCUGGUGGUGGUGGAGACUUGUAGUAGUAUGGUGGAGGAGGAGAUGGUGAUGGUGGAGGAGGAGACUUGUAAUAGUAGGGAGGUGGGGGUGAUGGAGAUGGUGGUGGAGGAGACUUGUAAUAGUAUGGUGGAGGAGGAGAUGGCGAUGGUGGUGGUGGAGACUUGUAAUAGUAGGGAGGUGGAGGUGAUGGUGAUGGUGGUGGAGGAGAUUUGUAGUAGUAUGGAGGUGGUGGUGAUGGAGAUGGUGGUGGAGGAGACUUGUAAUAGUAUGGUGGUGGUGGUGGGGACUUGUAGACGUACUUAGGUGAUGGUGGUGGUGGGGACUUGUAGACGUACUUAGGUGAGGGAGGUGGUGGAGACUUGUACACGUAUUUAGGUGAUGGAGGAGGUGGUGAUUUGUACACGUACUUCGGUGAUGGAGGUGGUGGUGACUUGUACACGUAUUUAGGUGAUGGAGGAGGUGGUGAUUUGUACACGUACUUCGGUGAUGGAGGUGGUGGUGACUUGUACACGUAUUUAGGUGAUGGAGGAGGUGGUGACUUGUACACGUACUUUGGUGAUGGAGGCGGUGGUGACUUGUAUACGUAUUUAGGUGAUGGAGGAGGUGGUGACUUGUACACGUACUUUGGUGAUGGAGGUGGUGGUGAUUUGUACACGUAUUUAGGUGACGGAGGAGGUGGUGACUUGUACACGUACUUUGGUGAUGGAGGUGGUGGUGACUUGUACACGUACUUUGGUGAUGGAGGUGGUGGUGACUUGUACACGUACUUUGGUGAUGGAGGUGGUGGUGACUUGUACACGUACUUGGGGGAUGGAGGAGGUGGGGACUUGUACACGUAUUUUGGUGAUGGUGGUGGAGGAGAUUUGUAGUAGUAAGGAGUUGGGGUUGGCUUAGGCUUCAUGCAUUCUUCAUAUGGAGUUUUUGGAGCAUAAGCAAAUGGUUUAGCAGAGAGCACAACUUCAUAAUGAUUCUUUGACUUCACUUUGAGGUUAGCACCCUUGAUGCCCCAAUGAAGAUCUGUGGGGAUGUUACAUUUUGAAUCCUUUGGUGCUUUGUGGAGUUUAGCCUUGCAUGCAUCUGCUCCAUAUUUGGCAUAAUCAAAUCCUUCAACAGUGAUG
rnacentral:lncRNA from 1 species